rnacentral:rRNA from 1 species
ACGGCGAGUGAAGCGGCAACAGCUCAAAUUUGAAAUCUGGCCCUCGCGGUCCGAGUUGUAAUUUGUAGAGGAUGCUUUUGGUUAGGUACCUUCCGAGUUCCCUGGAACGGGACGCCAGAGAGGGUGAGAGCCCCGUACGGUUGGAUACCGAGCCUCUAUAUAGCUCCUUCGACGAGUCGAGUAGUUUGGGAAUGCUGCUCUAAAUGGGAGGUAAAUUUCUUCUAAAGCUAAAUACCGGCCAGAGACCGAUAGCGCACAAGUAGAGUGAUCGAAAGAUGAAAAGUACUUUGAAAAGAGGGUUAAAUAGCACGUGAAAUUGUUGAAAGGGAAGCGUUUGCGACCAGACUUUUUCCGGGCGGAUCAUCCGGUGUUCUCACCGGUGCACUUCGCCCGGUUUAGGCCAGCAUCGGUUCUCCUAGGGGGAUAAAGGCGGGGGGAACGUGGCUCCUUCGGGAGUGUUAUAGCCCCCCGCGUAAUACCCCUCGGGGGACCGAGGAACGCGCAUCUGCAAGGAUGCUGGCGUAAUGGUCGCCAACGAC